rnacentral:lncRNA from 1 species
UUUUUAUUUUGUACAAUUUUGCUUCAAAUCCUAGUAAGUGUCACGCCCUAUUUUAAAAAUAAGUAUUGUGAGAGUUUUAAAAAAAUGUGGCCUGGCUUAGUGGUUAAGAAGUAGUGUAGUUACCCUUGUUUCCUAAGUUUGAUUUUUUUUUUUUUGUAUAAUUUUUAUUUAUUGUAUUUUUGCCCAAAAGCCUAGCAGUUGCCACCCCAUGCUGAAACCUUAGGUAUUUAAUGUAUUUUUUUUCAGUUUAGCCUCAUUUGCUCAUUUGUUCAUUUUCUCUGUCACCCCUAUCUUCUUUUUCUCUCAUUUUCCCCAAUUUUCUUUUCCUCUCUUCUUCUACUGUGUCACCUCUAACUCCUAAUUUCCUUCCAUAUUCUUCUUUUUUCUUCUAUUGUUAGUCGAAUAAUUGCUACCCAUUUUCACACCAUUGUCGCCCCUUGAAGCUCCUCAAUCACCAUUUUAUUAUUGUUG